CAAAUAGUAUGAUUUUCUAAGAAAGAUUUUAAAAAUCAAUAUGUCAAUGGCUGCACAGAAAAUAUUGUUAUUGAGGUAUAUCCAAGUUCCUGCAGUAACAAGCCAGGGUUCAUUUUUAAAAAUUGAUCAACAAAGAUCCUACCAAUUUAUACAUUUCAUUCAGCAUAUUUCAACCUUUAUUAUUUUAAGAAUUUCCUAUAAUCUGUACUUUUCAAGAUCAAAGUCUUUCUUUUCAUUUUAAACUCCCCUCCCCUACACACAUCCUCCAUCAGGACCUUCUGAGAGUCCCUUAGAUGGGUAGGAAUUGACUCCCCAGAGCAGGAGCAAGUGUCCAUUUCUUAUUCCCACCCAGCAUUGUGCACAAUGGUAGGAUACUACUGGUCCUCAGGGUUGUCAAUAAAAGUUUAAGUGUAAUAAUGAUAAUAAUAAUAAUGAUAAGCUUAAAAGAGUUUUACCAGUUAAACUGUUUGAAAAUGACAAUCUUGCUGCAUUUUUUGUGGGUUACUCUUGUCUUCUCAGGUGACCAGUAUAUUUGUUAUCUGGGCAUCUCUUUAGUUCUCCCUCAAUUUUCUCCAUCAUUUCGUCCAGUCGAUUUUUCUGUCCUAUGCUCCAGUUUUCUCAGCUUUAAAAUAGGGAAAUGGGAGUGGAUACAUAUGUACUUGGAGAAGGCAAUGGCACCCCACUCCAGUAUUCUUGCCUGGAAAAUCCCAU
rnacentral:lncRNA from 1 species